AGAGUUUGAUCCUGGCUCAGAGCGAACGCUGGCGGCAGGCCUAACACAUGCAAGUCGAACGAGACCUUCGGGUCUAGUGGCGGACGGGUGAGUAACACGUGGGAACGUGCCUUUAGGUUCGGAAUAACUCAGGGAAACUUGUGCUAAUACCGAAUGUGCCCUUCGGGGGAAAGAUUUAUCGCCUUUAGAGCGGCCCGCGUCUGAUUAGCUAGUUGGUGAGGUAAUGGCUCACCAAGGCUACGAUCAGUAGCUGGUCUGAGAGGAUGAUCAGCCACAUUGGGACUGAGACACGGCCCAAACUCCUACGGGAGGCAGCAGUGGGGAAUCUUGCGCAAUGGGCGAAAGCCUGACGCAGCCAUGCCGCGUGUAUGAUGAAGGUCUUAGGAUUGUAAAAUACUUUCACCGGUGAAGAUAAUGACUGUAGCCGGAGAAGAAGCCCCGGCUAACUUCGUGCCAGCCGCCGCGGUAAUAC
rnacentral:rRNA from 1 species